CCUACGGGCGGCAGCAGUGAGGAAUAUUGGUCAAUGGACGAGAGUCUGAACCAGCCAAGUAGCGUGAAGGAUGACUGCCCUAUGGGUUGUAAACUUCUUUUAUAUGGGAAUAAAAUGUUCCACGUGUGGGAUUUUGUAUGUACAAUAUGAAUAAGGAUCGGCUAACUCCGUGCCAGCAGCCGCGGUAAUACGGAGGAUCCGAGCGUUAUCCGGAUUUAUUGGGUUUAAAGGGAGCGUAGGUGGAUUGUUAAGUCAGUUGUGAAAGUUUGCGGCUCAACCGUAAAAUUGCAGUUGAAACUGGCAGUCUUGAGUACAGUAGAGGUGGGCGGAAUUCGUGGUGUAGCGGUGAAAUGCUUAGAUAUAACGAAGAACUCCGAUUGCGAAGGCAGUUCACUGGACUGCAACUGACACUGAGGCUCGAAAGUGUGGGUAUCAAACAGGAUUAGAUACCCGUGUAGUC
rnacentral:rRNA from 1 species